rnacentral:rRNA from 1 species
CCUACGGGGGGCAGCAGUGGGGAAUAUUGGACAAUGGGCGAAAGCCUGAUCCAGCCAUGCCGCGUGUGUGAAGAAGGCCUUCGGGUUGUAAAGCACUUUCAGUGGGGAAGAAAGCCUUGGGGCUAAUACCCUCGAGGAAGGACAUCACCCACAGAAGAAGCACCGGCUAACUCCGUGCCAGCAGCCGCGGUAAUACGGAGGGUGCGAGCGUUAAUCGGAAUUACUGGGCGUAAAGCGCGCGUAGGCGGUCUGAUAAGCCGGUUGUGAAAGCCCCGGGCUCAACCUGGGAACGGCAUCCGGAACUGUCAGGCUAGAGUGCAGGAGAGGAAGGUAGAAUUCCCGGUGUAGCGGUGAACUGCGUAGAGAUCGGGAGGAAUACCAGUGGCGAAGGCGGCCUUCUGGACUGACACUGACGCUGAGGUGCGAAAGCGUGGGUAGCAAACAGGAUUAGAUACCCGAGUAGUC